rnacentral:misc_RNA from 1 species
GAAACGCGAUAGUUAAUGUGAAUUGCAGAAUUCAGUGAAUCAUCGAGUCUUUGAACGCACAUUGCGCCCAUAGGUAUUCCUUUGGGCAUGUCUGUUUGAGCGUCAUUACAACCCUCAGCUAACCGCUGGUUUUGAACCUGAACGGGUGACACCGCGCCGGUUUUAAAGUUGUAAGCUCUGCUGGCCGCUCUGCCCAACCAGAACAUAGUAAGCACUACUUGUCCGGGUGAAGCUGAACGGUACGGCCUGAACAAAACCUACCCACUCUCAAGGUUUGACCUCAGAUCAGACAAGGAUACCCGCUGAACGUAAGC